GACGAACGCUGGCGGCGUGCUUAACGCAUGCAAGUCGAACGGAAAGGCCCUGCUUUUGUGGGGUGCUCGAGUGGCGAACGGGUGAGUAACACGUGAGUAACCUGCCCUUGACUUUGGGAUAACUUCAGGAAACUGGGGCUAAUACCGGAUAGGAGCUCCUGCUGCAUGGUGGGGGUUGGAAAGUUUCGGCGGUUGGGGAUGGACUCGGGGCUUAUCAGCUUGUUGGUGGGGUAGUGGCUUACCAAGGCUUUGACGGGUAGCCGGCCUGAGAGGGUGACCGGCCCCAUUGUGCGUCGGGUGGGGACCGGAGGCAUACGGGAGGCAGGAGGGGGAGGUUUAGAGCACAGGGCGGCGGCAGGAUGGAGGGACGCCGGAUGGGGGAGAAAGGCUUUCGGGUUGGAAACAAAUUUCGCCUGGAAAGAAGCGUGAGGAAGGUAAAUGAGUAAAAAGGCACGGCUAACUUCGGG
rnacentral:rRNA from 1 species